rnacentral:rRNA from 1 species
GGACGGGGCGGCGUUCUAUACAUGCAAGUCGAGCGAACCGACGGGAGCUUGCUCCCUUAGGUUAGCGGCGGACGGGUGAGUAACACGUGGGUAACCUGCCUGUAAGACUGGGAUAACUCCGGGAAACCGGGGCUAAUACCGGAUGCUUGAUUGAACCGCAUGGUUCAAUUAUAAAAGGUGGCUUUUAGCUACCACUUACAGAUGGACCCGCGGCGCAUUAGCUAGUUGGUGAGGUAACGGCUCACCAAGGCGACGAUGCGUAGCCGACCUGAGAGGGUGAUCGGCCACACUGGGACUGAGACACGGCCCAGACUCCUACGGGAGGCAGCAGUAGGGAAUCUUCCGCAAUGGACGAAAGUCUGACGGAGCAACGCCGCGUGAGUGAUGAAGGUUUUCGGAUCGUAAAACUCUGUUGUUAGGGAAGAACAAGUACCGUUCGAACAGGGCGGUGCCUUGACGGUACCUAACCAGAAAGCCACGGCUAACUACGUGCCAGCAGCCGCGGUAAUACGUAGGUGGCAAGCGUUGUCCGGAAUUAUUGGGCGUAAAGCGCGCGCAGGCGGUUUCUUAAGUCUGAUGUGAAAGCCCCCGGCUCAACCGGGGAGGGUCAUUGGAAACUGGGGAACUUGAGUGCAGAAGAGGAGAGUGGAAUUCCACGUGUAGCGGUGAAAUGCGUAGAGAUGUGGAGGAACACCAGUGGCGAAGGCGACUCUCUGGUCUGUAACUGACGCUGAGGCGCGAAAGCGUGGGGAGCGAACAGGAUUAGAUACCCUGGUAGUCCACGCCGUAAACGAUGAGUGCUAAGUGUUAGAGGGUUUCCGCCCUUUAGUGCUGCAGCAAACGCAUUAAGCACUCCGCCUGGGGAGUACGGUCGCAAGACUGAAACUCAAAGGAAUUGACGGGGGCCCGCACAAGCGGUGGAGCAUGUGGUUUAAUUCGAAGCAACGCGAAGAACCUUACCAGGUCUUGACAUCCUCUGACACCCCUAGAGAUAGGGCU